GGUAAGCGCACUGAUGGAUAUGUGCGUCCAAGCAAUUAGGCUGAGAAGUAGGCAAAUCCGCUUCUCGCGAAGGCUGAGUUGUGAUGGCGAGGGAAAUUUAGUACCGAAGUUCCUGAUCCUCCACUGCCAAGAAAAGCCUCUAGCGAGGUGAGAGGUGCCCGUACCGCAAACCGACACAGGUAGGCGAGAAGAGAAUUCUAAGACGCUCGGGAGAACUCUCGUUAAGGAACUCGGCAAAAUGACCCCGUAACUGCGGGAGAAGGGGUGCUCUGGUAGGGUGUAUGCCCGAGAGAGCCGCAGUGAAAAGGUCCAAGCGACUGUUUAGCAAAAACACAGGUCUCUGCGAAGCCGCAAGGCGAAGUAUAGGGGCUGACACCUGCCCGGUGCUGGAAGGUUAAGAGGAGGGGUUAUCCCUUACGGGGGAAGCUCUGAAUUGAAG
rnacentral:rRNA from 1 species